AUUGAACGCUGGCGGCAUGCCUUACACAUGCAAGUCGAACGGCAGCACGGGGCAACCUGGUGGCGAGUGGCGAGCGGGUGAGUAAUGUAUCGGAACGUGCCAUUGAGUGGGGGAUAACGUAGCGAAAGUUACGCUAAUACCGCAUAUACCCUGAGGGGGAAAGCAGGGGAUCGCAAGACCUUGUGCUCUUUGAGCGGCCGAUAUCAGAUUAGCUAGUUGGCGGGGUAAUGGCCCACCAAGGCGACGAUCGGUAGCCGGCCUGAGAGGGCGGACGGCCACACUGGAACUGAGACACGGUCCAGACUCCUACGGGAGGCAGCAGUGGGGAAUUGUUCACAAUGGGCGCAAGCCUGAUGACGCAACGCCGCGUGGGGGAUGAAGGUCUUCAGAUUGUAAACCCCUGUCGAAUGGGACGAAUGGCCGCCGGGCUAAUCACCGGCGGAAUGACGGUACCGUUAAAGGAAGCCACGGCUAACUCUGUGCCAGCAGCCGCGGUAACAC
rnacentral:rRNA from 1 species